AUGCGACACCUAGCGGCAGUAGGGAGAAACGAAAUACGGAGGUCCAGUCGCCGUGUGUGCCGUAGAGGCUGCUGUCGCGGACGGAAGAAUGAAGCUGCUAGCAAAGAAAAAGCGAACGGCCAAGCAGUUCUGCUGUGUUCCUCGGUGCGUGCCAGCGAGAUGGAAGGACAGCGAUAUUUCCGUUCACGCACUUCCCUCCGAGUGGAAAGGCUGAAGCCGCAGAACCAGGUGGAUCGCUAACCUCCGCAUCGGCAAGGCUGUGACGCUUACAGUGACUGUUUGUUCACGGCAUUUUGCACGGGAUAAUUUCUCCUUACCAGAUGUAGCAUGUCAAAGACAGCGGCUGAAAAAAAAUGCAGUACCAACUGAAAACCUGCCAAGGACGUCAUGUUAUGAUGAGAACAAGGAUGCUCAUAUGAAAGAGCUUUCACUGACAAGACUUCGCCGACGUGUGUAUCGGUCAGCCAGAAAUGAAUCAAGCAAAGAAACUGUUGCCUCCCCAUUAGAAGCAAAGGUGUUGCCCCAUGCACCUGUCAGCACGACCACCAUGGUAAAUUGGCUGCCUGCAACUUGUGCACACAUUGCUUCACCACUAAUUCCUUGGGAUUAAACUCUGACAUUGCAGGACGAUCUCCCAUCCCCUGACCGCAACAGCAUGGACCAAAUAAGUGACAAAGGAAAUAUGGACGAUUUCCCAUCCCCUAACAGCAUGGACCAAAGCCUUGCAAACACCAUAAGGGACAAGGACAUAGCAAAUAUGGCAAUUUAUUUUUUUCUAUAUAUUUGUGAUGUGGUAGCUGUCUUUACCUAGCCGGCAGCAUGUUUUCUGGAUUAACUUCGUGAAAGGAUUGUGGUGUGUGAUGGGUGCAAAUUAACUGAUGCAAAAAGCCUGGCUUUCCUACUUCCAACAUUGAAUUUAAUACAUUGACGUGCAUUAUUGGAAUGACAAAAAGAAGCUGCAUUUCACGUCAGAUAUGUCAGACAUUACAACUCUUGCUUUUGUUUUGUGACAGGAAUGUGCUUGCCAACCUGGCCUCCGGACAUUAAUGGCAGAGUACUCAAGAGAAGAAAAAGACGUGGCAAAUUUCCUACUAGAAAUGGCUUCACGGACAAGGCUUACAGAAAGCAAGGCUGCCCAAGUGACAUCGGGUACUUUUCCACAGAAGUUUGUGAACACGAUAAAUAGUAGCAACGUAAAUACAUUCACAGGCCUGCCAUCAUUCGAUGUUCUGAAUGCUCGUGUGACGUGCUACACAAAAAUUCAUCCACUUUCAGGACGGCACCAGUUAUGUGUAAAAACAAUUGCAUUGACAUUGGUGAAAUUGAAGCAUAUUUCCACUGCAUUCUUGAGUCACCUUUUUAACUGUUCUCUAACUACAUGUAGCAACAUAAUUGCAGAGACUGCUCAGUUGAUGUGUGGAAUUUUAAAAGUAACUGUGGCUGUGCCACCAAAAGAUGAAUUCCAGUGGCACGUUUGCAUAUUCGGCAUUAGGUGAUUCACCUGAAGUCGUGCCAUGGCUGGCGAUAUUGCAAGUAGCCUGUACUGCAUAGAGGCAUUUGUGCGUGUGACCUUGGCUCCAUCAAAGCGUGUCGGCCUUGAGAGUAAGUG